rnacentral:rRNA from 1 species
UACGUAGGCAGCAAGCGUUGUUCGGAGUUACUGGGCGUAAAGGGUGUGUAGGCGGUUCUUUAAGUUUGCUGUGAAAUCUCCCGGCUUAACCGGGAGGGUGCGGUGAAUACUGAGGGACUAGAGUACGGGAGAGGAAAGUGGAAUUCCUGGUGUAGCGGUGAAAUGCGUAGAUAUCAGGAGGAACACCGGUGGUGUAGACGGCUUUCUGGACCGUAACUGACGCUGAGACACGAAAGCGUGGGGAGCGAACAGG